ACAUCCUACGGGAGGCAGCAGUGGGGAAUAUUGGACAAUGGGCGCAAGCCUGAUCCAGCCAUGCCGCGUGAGUGAUGAAGGCCCUAGGGUUGUAAAGCUCUUUCACCGGAGAAGAUAAUGACGGUAUCCGGAGAAGAAGCCCCGGCUAACUUCGUGCCAGCAGCCGCGGUAAUACGAAGGGGGCUAGCGUUGUUCGGAAUUACUGGGCGUAAAGCGCACGUAGGCGGAUCGAUCAGUCAGGGGUGAAAUCCCAGGGCUCAACCCUGGAACUGCCUUUGAUACUGUCGAUCUGGAGUAUGGAAGAGGUGAGUGGAAUUCCGAGUGUAGAGGUGAAAUUCGUAGAUAUUCGGAGGAACACCAGUGGCGAAGGCGGCUCACUGGUCCAUUACUGACGCUGAGGUGCGAAAGCGUGGGGAGCAAACAGGAUUAGAUACCCCUGUAGUCC
rnacentral:rRNA from 1 species